rnacentral:rRNA from 1 species
GGGAUCACACAAGCGGUGGAGCAUGUUGUUUAAUUCGAAGCAACGCGAAGAACCUUACCAGGCCUUGACAUGUACGGAUUAGUCACGUGAAAGCGUGGUGACAGCUCUUCGGAGUCGGAACGUACACAGGUGUUGCAUGGCUGUCGUCAGCUCGUGCCGUGAGGUGUUGGGUUAAGUCCCGUAACGAGCGAAACCCUUAUCGUUAGUUGCCAGCGGGUAAUGCCGGGGACUCUAGCGAGACUGCCGUUGUCAAAACGGAGGAAGGUGGGGACGACGUCAAGUCAUCAUGGCCCUUAUGGCCUGGGCUACAAACGUGCUACAAUGGUCCGUACAAUGGGUUCCGAAGCCGCGAGGUGUAGGCAA